GCAGGGUGUGGUGGCACACACCUGUAAUCCCAGUGGCUUGGGAAGCUGAGGCAGGAGGAUGGUGAGUUUAAAGCCAGCCUCAGUAAAAGCGAGGCAUUAAGCAACUCAGUGAGACCCUAUCUCUA
rnacentral:sRNA from 1 species